CAUUGGCUCUCCGAAACCCGUCUUUGAGUCUGCAUCGACGAGCGAUAAAAAGAGCAGUAAUGCUUCCAAGCGUAAGGCGAAAAAGGGCAUCGAAGUCACCUAUGCACUUAAUGGCCAUAUCCAAGUGGACGAUUAUGUGAAAGUUGACUCGAAGCCGUACAAGGGCAACUAUCGGGCGUCCAAAAUCAAAUUUACUGGCGACACAGAGGGCGACGACUGGAAAUGUGUAGCGCUGUUUGUGGAGGUGAAGUGACGUGAAACAGGAUUUUCUUGAUGCAGUAUCUUCCCUUGUUGGGCGGCUGAUGGAAGAUUCGAUUCAUACCUCUGCACCCUCCAAGGUUGGAAAGGUAGAGAAUAACCAUACUGCGAAGCUCACCCCUAACCUCAAGGUGACAACGGAUGAUGGCCGAGAAGUUCCUUACCCGGAAAUAUCAGGCGCCAUCAUUCUGAUGCCCUGUGGAGCAGGUGGAACGGUCGGCUUUGCCUUUCCAGUGAAGUCGGAUGACGGGUGCCUUGCUCUCUUCAACGAGGGCGGCUCAGGAACAGACCUCAAAUGGGAUCUCUCGAAUGCGGCUUUGCUUCCGGGCCUUUACCAGUCGCCGGGUGAGCAUUGGGAUACCACCCUUGGAUUGCUGGGUUUCUAACCUGCGGCCAUGAAUCUGGUCGGGGGACACUGUUAGGCGGGCAGUUUGACUGGGGCGGUCGCCUCCUAAAAUGUAACGGAGGCGCUCAAAGGUUGGCUCAGCAUGGAUGGAAACCAUGCAAUGAGUGUAAACGUAUAAGCCAGCCUGACUGCGAGACCGACGGGUCGAGCAGAGACGAAAGUCGGAGUUAGUGAUCCGGUGGUAUGUGAGUGGAAAUGCCAUCGCUCAACGGAUAAAAGCUACCCUGGGGAUAACAGGCUGAUCUCCCCCAAGCGUCCACAGCGACGGGGAGGUUUGGCACCUCGAUGUCGGCUCGUCGCAUCCUGGGGCUGUAUUCGGUCCCAAGGGUUUGGCUGUUCGCCAAUUAAAGCGGCACGCGAGCUGGGUUCAGAACGUCGUGAGACAGUUCGGUCCCUAUCUGUUGCGGGCGUAGGAGAUUUGAAGGGAGCUGUCCUUAGUACGAGAGGACCGGGAUGGACAUACCUCUGGUGUACCAGUUGUUCUGCCAAGGGCACGGCUGGGUAGCUACGUAUGGACGAGAUAAACGCUGAAGGCAUCUAAGCGUGAAACUCCCCCUAAGAUAAGAUCUCUCAUCCUUUAUGGAGUAAGGCUCGUCGUAGACUAUGACGUUGAUAGGUCAGAGGUGGAAGCGCCGUAAGGUGUGUAGCUGACUGAUACUAAUAAGCCGAGGGCUUGACCU
rnacentral:rRNA from 1 species